rnacentral:misc_RNA from 1 species
UACGGAGGGGGCUAGCGUUGUUCGGAAUUACUGGGCGUAAAGCGCACGUAGGCGGAUUGUUAAGUUAGAGGUGAAAGCCCGGAGCUCAACUCCGGAAUAGCCUUUGAUACUGGCAGUCUAGAGUUCAGGAGAGGUGAGCGGAAUUCCGAGUGUAGAGGUGAAAUUCGUAGAUAUUCGGAGGAACACCAGAGGCGAAGGCGGCUCACUGGACUGAUACUGACGCUGAGGUGCGAAAGCGUGGGGAGCAAACAGG